rnacentral:rRNA from 1 species
AUACGUAGGGUGCAAGCGUUAAUCGGAAUUACUGGGCGUAAAGCGUGCGCAGGCGGUUUUGUAAGACAGUGGUGAAAUCCCCGGGCUCAACCUGGGAACUGCCAUUGUGACUGCAAGGCUGGAGUGCGGCAGAGGGGGAUGGAAUUCCGCGUGUAGCAGUGGAAUGCGUAGAUAUGCGGAGGAACACCGAUGGCGAAGGCAAUCCCCUGGGCCUGCACUGACGCUCAUGCACGAAAGCGUGGGGAGCAAACAGGAUUAGAUACCCUGGUAGUCCACGCCCUAAACGAUGUCAACUGGUUGUUGGGGAUUUAUUUUCUCAGUAACGAAGCUAACGCGUGAAGUUGACCGCCUGGGGAGUACGGCCGCAAGGUUAAAACUUAAAGGAAUUGACGGGG